rnacentral:rRNA from 1 species
UACGUAGGGGGCAAGCGUUAUCCGGAUUUACUGGGUGUAAAGGGAGCGUAGACGGCGCGGCAAGUCUGAAGUGAAAGGCAGGGGCUUAACCCCUGAACUGCUUUGGAAACUGCCAUGCUAGAGUGCUGGAGAGGCAAUCGGAAUUCCGUGUGUAGCGGUGAAAUGCGUAGAUAUACGGAGGAACACCAGUGGCGAAGGCGGAUUGCUGGACAGUAACUGACGCUGAGGCGCGAAAGCGUGGGGAGCAAACAGG